AACAAGUGAUGAAAUUCAAAUAAGGUCUAAAAAUUAGUUAAUUUCAUAGUAUGAAAUUAAAUUUUCUGGUUUUAAUAACUGCACUAUGGUGAUGUAAGAUGUUAACAUUAGAGGAAACCAGAUGAGGGCAUAUGGAACUCCAGAUAGUAUUUCUGCAACUUUUUUGUAAGUCUCAAAUGGCUUCUGAAUAAAAUGUUAGGAAAGAAGAGAAGAGCCCUUCUGAAUUCCGUGAAGGUAUUCCUUCAUCUUCAGAUUUCUGUAAUGAGCUAAGGCAGAAAUUAUGCAGAAUAUAAAAACGUGGCAUAUGGCAUUAAAUAUUUGUAGUAUAUAUUAGGUAUAUAAUUCUUAAUCAACUAAAUAUAGUCUUUAGGUACACUUUAAUAAAAAGUUGGACAUUGAACAUUUGAUCAGGAAUUUAAUGCCCUAAUAGGACUUUAAAUCUGUGGAAAAAUAAUUUUUAACUUACAUAAUUUUGAUAUAUGGUAACUUUUCUAGAAAAGCAAUUCUCCACAAAAGUGAGAAUGGACCACAAACGAAUCACACUUACCAGAGAGACUGAAUAGAUUGAUAGAAUCUGACAUUCAGGUAGGUGUUCUUACUAUUUUGCUUUUUUUCCUGAUUAUAAGUUAUCAUUGAUUUAAAUGGAUACAUUUAAUUGUUGCUAAAAUGUAGCCAUCAUAAUGAAGGGCUUUUUGGCGUAUAUCAUUAUUCAAGAAUACACUGAUUAAAAAUAAUAGAAAAGAAAGACAUGGCCUAAUUCAAUUCUAGAUUCUGAGAAUAGCUUUCAAUCCUAAAGUCUGAGAAUCAACGGGGAUACUCUUUGGGCAAAUUCAUUACCUGGAAGGACACUUUUGUUCAUUCAGAAGCCUGUAUGAGAAUGUUUCCUACAUUCUGACAAAGAUUUUUCAGAAAAUUAUAGCAGCUUUACAUCUACGAUAAUACCAACUGGUUCAUGCAUCAGAACCAAUUAUAAUUUUCCAAGUGGUCACCUGUGCUAUUAGUCCAGGAUCUAAUCAUUCUGAGAACAACUGUUGCCUAGCAAUAUUUUGGUUCAUUAGUU
rnacentral:lncRNA from 1 species